UACGAAGGGGGCUAGCGUUGCUCGGAAUCACUGGGCUUAAAGGGCGCGUAGGCGGGUGCUCAAGUCCGGGGUGAAAUCCUCCAGCUCAACUGGAGAACUGCCUCGGAUACUGGGCGUCUCGAGGGUGGCAGGGGUAUGCGGAACUAUCGGUGGAGCGGUGAAAUGCGUUGAUAUCGAUAGGAACUCCGGUGGCGAAGGCGGCAUACUGGUCCACUUCUGACGCUGAGGCGCGAAAGCCAGGGGAGCGAACGGGG
rnacentral:rRNA from 1 species